ACUCAGGUGUUGUUGGGUAGGGGAGCGUUCUGUAAGUCUGCGAAGGUGGCCUGUGAGGGUUGCUGGAGGUAUCAGAAGUGCGAAUGCUGACAUAAGUAACGAUAAAGCGGGUGAAAAGCCCGCUCGCCGGAAGACCAAGGGUUCCUGUCCAACGUUAAUCGGGGCAGGGUGAGUCGACCCCUAAGGCGAGGCCGAAAGGCGUAGUCGAUGGGAAACGGGUUAAUAUUCCCGUACUUGGUGUUACUGCGAAGGGGGGACGGAGAAGGCUAUGUUGGCCGGGCGACGGUU
rnacentral:rRNA from 1 species